AACGUAGGUGGCGAGCGUUAUCCGGAUUUACUGGGCGUAAAGCGUGUGCAGGCGGGGGUACAAGUGGUGUAUGAAAUCGCCCGGCUUAACCGGGCAGGGUUAUGCCAGACUGCUAGUCUUGAGUGCGAGAGAGGAGCGUGGAAUUCCGGGUGUAGUGGUGAAAUGCGUAGAGAUCCGGAGGAACCCCAGAGGCGAAGGCGGCGCUCUGGCUCGCGAACUGACGCUCAGACACGACAGCAUGGGGAGCGAACGGG
rnacentral:rRNA from 1 species